UACGGAGGGAGCUAGCGUUGUUCGGAUAUACUGGGCGUAAAGCGCACGUAGGCGGCUUCUUAAGUCGGUGGUGAAAUCCUGGAGCUCAACUCCAGAACUGCCUUCGAUACUGGGAAGCUCGAGUCCGGGAGAGGUGAGUGGAACUGCGAGUGUAGAGGUGAAAUUCGUAGAUAUUCGCAAGAACACCAGUGGCGAAGGCGGCUCACUGGCCCGGUACUGACGCUGAGGUGCGAAAGCGUGGGGAGCAAACAGG
rnacentral:rRNA from 1 species